rnacentral:rRNA from 1 species
AGAAUCAACGCUGGCGGCGUGCCUAACACAUGCAAGUCGCAUGAGAAAGGGACUUCGGUCCUGAGUAAAGUGGCGCACGGGUGAGUAACACGUGAAUAAUCUACCUCCGAGUGGGGAAUAACUGAGAGAAAUCUUAGCUAAUACCGCAUAACACUUACGAGUCAAAGCAGCAAUGCGCUUGGAGAGGAGUUCGCGGCAGAUUAGUUAGUUGGCGGGGUAAUGGCCCACCAAGACGAUGAUCUGUA